GUUCUGGUGCCAGCAGCCGCGGUAAUUCCAGCUCCAGUAGCGUAUAUUAAAGUUGCUGCAGCUAAAAAGCUCGUAGUUGAAUUUCUGUUUGUAAGAGUCGAAGCUUUACAGCUAAGAUUUCUUCGAACAUCUGUUUGCAAGCAUACGUUCGGCCUUCACUGGUUGGCUAUGUAAGCAAGCGCUUUACCUUGAGAAAAUUAGAGUGUUCCAGGCAGGCUUCAGCCGGAAUACAUUAGCAUGGAAUAAUGGAAUAGGACUGGGGACUAUUUAUUGGUUUGAGGCUCCAGUAAUGAUUAAUAGGAACAGUCGGGGGCAUUGGUACUUAACAGUCAGAGGUGAAAUUCUUGGAUUUGUUAAAGACUAACUAAUGCGAAAGCAUUUGCCAAGCAUGUUUUCAUUAAUCAAGAUCGAAAGUUAGGGGAUCAAAGACGAUUAGAUACCGUCCUAGUCUUAACUGUAAACGAUUCCAUCUUAGAAUUGGGUGAAUAUUUGAUGAUUCAUCCAGCGCUAUAAGAGAAAUCAAAGUCUUUGGGUUCUUGGUGGAGUACGAUCGCAAGAUUGAAACUUAAAGGAAUUGACGGUUUUGCACACCAUGGAGUGGAGCCUGUGGCUUAAUUUGACCCAACACUGGGAAACUCAUCAGGACAACAAAGUUUUAGGAUUGACAGAUUGAUAGCUCUUUCUUGAUUGACUUAAUGGUGGUGCAUGGCCGUUCUUAGUUGGUGGAGUGAUUUGUCUGGUUAAUUCCGUUAACGAACGAGACCUUAACCUACUAACUAGUACGACGUGACGAACGUUAGUUACUUCUUAGAGGGACAAUGUGUAUUUUUAACACAAGGAAGUUUAAGGCAAUAACAGGUCUGUGAUGCCCUUAGAUGUCCUGAGCCGCACACGCGCUACAAUGACACUUUCAAUAAGUUUUUGCUGGUCCGACAGGAUUUCGGCUAAUCUUUUUAGUAAGUGUCGUGCUAGGGAUAGAUCUUUGCAAUUGUGGAUCUUGAACGAGGAAUUCCUAGUAAGCACAAGUCAUCAGCUUGUGCUGAUUACGUCCCUGCAAAAUGUACACAUCGCCCGUCGCUUGCUCCGAUUGAGUAAUCUGGUGAGCCUUCUUGACUGAGUAAGUAAUUACGAAGAAAAUUAAGCAAACCAUAUUACUUAGAGGAUGAAGAAGUCGUA
rnacentral:rRNA from 1 species